GAGGCGUGAUGAUGCCGAGAUCAGGUUUCACUCAUUGAGCUAAUGAUGUCAUGUGAUGUCACAACUUCUCUUGGCUGUCUGACCAA
rnacentral:snoRNA from 1 species